rnacentral:misc_RNA from 1 species
UGGCUCUGGCAUCGAUGAAGAACGCAGCGAAAUGCGAUAAGUAAUGCGAAUUGCAGAAUUCAGUGAAUCAUCGAAUCUUUGAACGCACAUUGCGCCCGCUGGUUUUUCCAGCGGGCAUGCCUGUUCGAGCGUCAUUUUAAACCUCAAGCCCUGGCUGCUUGGUGUUGGGGCUUUUUGCUGCGGAAAACCCGCAGGCCCCGAAUGCAAUCGGCGGGCCCGUCCGCGACCCCGAGCGUAGUAACAUUUUCGUCUCGCCCAGGGCUGUCCGGCGGGCAUAUCCGGCCGCUAAAAACAGCAACCCACGGGUUCUAUUUUCACAGUUUGACCUCGGAUCAGGUAGGAAUACCCGCUGA